UACAGAGGUGGCAAGCGUUGUUCGGAAUUACUGGGCGUAAAGGGCGCGUAGGCGGCCUUCUAAGUCAGACGUGAAAUCCCCCGGCUUAACCUGGGAACUGCGUCUGAUACUGGGAGGCUUGAGUAUGGGAGAGGGAUGUAGAAUUCCAGGUGUAGCGGUGAAAUGCGUAGAUAUCUGGAGGAAUACCGGUGGCGAAGGCGGCAUCCUGGACCAUAACUGACGCUGAGGCACGAAAGCGUGGGGAGCAACAGG
rnacentral:rRNA from 1 species